rnacentral:rRNA from 1 species
CUACGGGAGGCAGCAGUGAGGAAUAUUGCACAAUGGGGGAAACCCUGAUGCAGCAACGCCGCGUGGAGGAUGACGCAUUUCGGUGUGUAAACUCCUUUUAUAUGUCAAGAAAAUGACGGUAGCAUAUGAAUAAGCACCGGCUAACUCCGUGCCAGCAGCCGCGGUAAUACGGAGGGUGCAAGCGUUACUCGGAAUCACUGGGCGUAAAGGACGCGUAGGCGGGCUUGUAAGUCAGGUGUGAAAUACUACAGCUUAACUGUAGAACUGCACUUGAAACUACGAGCCUAGAGUAUGGGAGGGGCAGAUGGAAUUAGUGGUGUAGGGGUAAAAUCCGUAGAUAUCACUAGGAAUACCUAAAGCGAAGGCGAUCUGCUGGAACAUAACUGACGCUAAGGCGUGAAAGCGUGGGGAGCAAACAGGAUUAGAUACCCCUGUAGUC